rnacentral:ncRNA from 1 species
GCACUGGUCGGAAACCAGUGCGCGUUCUUAUGAAGGAG